AGCAUCUCAUCUCAACAUAUAAAAAGAUUGCUUAAAAAACAGGCCAUACUUUAAAACCACCUUUGAAACCAAUAAUAGAAUUAAGUGUACCAAUUAUAAUGCUCUAGUUAUACCAACUCAAAUAUUCAAAUUAAUGAAAGGAUAAGAAAUUGUAAUGUUGAUCUAUCAGAGUUUGAAUUAAAAUGUGUGUUCUCACUUCCUUUGCUUCAUAAUGAAGCUAGGCUUUGCAAACUAUGACCACACCUUCUCAAGCUCGGAAGUGAUAGAGUUCUCGCAAAUAUCUGAAUAUCAAUGUCUACUGCUGAGCUUGUUUUAGAUUGUGUGGCGAUAUUUAUCUAGUGAAGUUCUAAGAAUUACUGAAGCCAUCUCUUUACUCGAGAAAGUAUUCAAAGUAGUUCAUUAUUUUGCAAGUCUAGUUCUUGCUUCUUCAAGACAAGUGAAGUGGAGUUCUCAUCGGCAGCUUCAUACUGGAUGUACUCUGCUUAUACACAAAGCUACGCUUUGCAAAUUGUGAGCUCACAUUCUCAGGCUUGUAAGUGAUAGGGAUUUUGCAAAUAUAUGAACAUUGGUAUCUAUUGCUGAGGUAACAAAAGUUUCAAGUCUCAAAGUGAGGUGCCUUUUUCUAGGUUACAACCUUCCAAUAUUUAGCUUGUUUGAGAAUUUUGUGGCAAUAUUUAUAUAGUGAAGUUACAAGAAGUUAUUGAAGCCAUCUCUCUACUCAAGAAACUAAGGCUAGGACAAGCUGGGAGCUUGUGCCUCAUUGGUUUUCAUUCAAAGUCUUGUCAUUUCACAAUUACCUAAAGAGAAAGGAUGGAAACAGCAGCACUUUGUGGAACCCAUUGUAUCGGAGGUUGAAGAAAACUGUUGA